GACGAACGCUGGCGGCGUGCCUAAUACAUGCAAGUAGAACGCACAGUUUAUACCGUAGCUUGCUACACCAUAGACUGUGAGUUGCGAACGGGUGAGUAACGCGUAGGUAACCUGCCUGGUAGCGGGGGAUAACUAUUGGAAACGAUAGCUAAUACCGCAUAAUAUUGAUUAUUGCAUGAUAAUUGAUUGAAAGAUGCCAUUGCAUCACUACCAGAUGGACCUGCGUUGUAUUAGCUAGUAGGUGAGGUAACGGCUCACCUAGGCGACGAUACAUAGCCGACCUGAGAGGGUGAUCGGCCACACUGGGACUGAGACACGGCCCAGACUCCUACGGGAGGCAGCAGUAGGGAAUCUUCGGCAAUGGACGAAAGUCUGACCGAGCAACGCCGCGUGAGUGAAGAAGGUUUUCGGAUCGUAAAGCUCUGUUGUAAGAGAAGAACGGGUGUGAGAGUGGAAAGUUCACACUGUGACGGUAUCUGACCAGAAAGGGACGGCUAACUACGUG
rnacentral:rRNA from 1 species